CCAUAUCACAUUGGAACACCGGUUCUCGCGCAAUCACCAAAGUUAAGCAACAUCGAGCCUGGUCAGUACCGAGAUGCGUGACCGCUUGAGAAUGACAGUUGCUGUAAG